AGCAGGGCCCACCACAUGGUGCGUGGCUGCGGAGAGAACAGCGAGACAGUCCCUUCAAUGCGCAGAAAUCCCGAACGAAGGGGCAGACGUGGCUCUCUAUCCCCCUGCUCUGCGGAGAAGCACAAGGGCUGGCUGUUCCCUGAAGGACGGGGCAGGGAUGAGGGGGGAGCUCCUGUAGCACCUCGUGCCCUUCCCGCUCCCAGAUGCCUCUCCCUCUAAUUCACUUGUGGGUUAGCAUCCACGAGUGACUUCUUGCAGAAGGCCUCCUACGUCUGUCCCCUCGGGCCCGAACGUCCAAGUAACCUCCUCCCUUGUCCCCAUUGCAUGAGCUUCUGGAGGGAAGAGACUGUGUCCUUUAUUGCCGUAAACUUUCCCCAGGAGCACAGAUGCUGCCCCAGAAACGUCUAUUAAUAAUGAGCCGGUGAACGACCUCAGUCAGGAGAAGCUCUGCUGGAACAGGAACAUGGGACUUACGGAAGAUUUUGUUGCCUCAGUUUUUCCCCUUAGAACUAAUGGGCCAGCCACAGAGAGAAGGUACUGAAGGUCCCAUACUUGCAGUGCUGCAAAGAUCAACAUUUCUUCUUCCGUGCAGUCAAUUUCUUCCAAGAGGAUGGCCCACCUGGCUUGUUCAUAGAGUUGGUUGAUUCGAACAGCAUCGUACUAAGGGAAGAAACAGGCGGAGGCGAAGCAUUUUGUGCUGAGGGGUGAAGAGAAGCUUUGCGUCUGCCUGGACCCCACAUUUGUCCAGAGUCCAGUGUGUUUUCAGAAGCCAGCAAUGUUUCUGUUCCCACCAGAGGGCAAAGUCUGAC